UACGUAGGGUGCGAGCGUUAAUCGGAAUUACUGGCGUAAAGCGUGCGCAGGCGGUUCGUUGUGUCGGCGGUGAAAGCCCCGGGCUUAACCCUGGGAAUGGCCGUUGAAACUGGCGAACUGGAGUGUGGCAGAGGGGGUGGAAUUCCGCGUGUAGCAGUGAAAUGCGUAGAGAUGCGGAGGAACACCGAUGGCGAAGGCAGCCCCCUGGGCUAACACUGACGCUCAGGCACGAAAGCGUGGGGAGCAAACAGG
rnacentral:rRNA from 1 species